GAAAAGAAACCAACAGGGAUUGCCCUAGUAACGGCGAGUGAAGCGGCAACAGCUCAAAUUUGAAAUCUGGCUUCGGCCCGAGUUGUAAUUUGCAGAGGAUGUUUCUGGCGCGGUGCCUUCCGAGUUCCCUGGAACGGGACGCCACAGAGGGUGAGAGCCCCGUAUGGUUGGACACCAAGCCUGUGUGAAGCUCCUUCGACGAGUCGAGUAGUUUGGGAAUGCUGCUCAAAAUGGGAGGUAAAUCUCUUCUAAAGCUAAAUACCGGCCAGAGACCGAUAGCGCACAAGUAGAGUGAUCGAAAGAUGAAAAGCACCUUGAAAAGGGGGUUAAACAGUACGUGAAAUUGUUGAAAGGGAAGCGCUUGUGACCAGACUUGCGCCGGGCGGCUCAUCCGGGGUUCUCCCCGGUGCACUCCGCCCGGUUCAGGCCAGCAUCGGUUCUCGUUGGGGGAUAAGAACGGCAGGAACGUGGCCCUCCUUCGGGAGGGUGUUAUAGCCUGCCGUACGAUACCCUGAUGGGGACCGAGGUUCGCGCUCCGCAAGGAUGCUGG
rnacentral:rRNA from 1 species